rnacentral:rRNA from 1 species
UACGGAGGGAGCUAGCGUUGUUCGGAAUUACUGGGCGUAAAGCGUACGUAGGCGGUUAUUCAAGUCAGAGGUGAAAGCCCGGGGCUCAACCCCGGAACGGCCUCCAAAACUGUCAGUCUUGAGUUCGAGAGAGGUGAGUGGAAUUCCGAGUGUAGAGGUGAAAUUCGUAGAUAUUCGGAGGAACACCAGUGGCGAAGGCGGCUCACUGGCUCGAUACUGACGCUGAGGUGCGAAAGCGUGGGGAGCAAACAGG